rnacentral:rRNA from 1 species
CACACCGCCCGUCACACCAUGGGAGUGGGCUGCACCAGAAGUGAAUUGUCUAACUUCGGAGGACGUUCACCACGGUGUGGUUCAUGACUGGGGUG